UCAAGGUCUCAACUUCCAUCGCUUCUCUAAGAAAAAAGUGUUACAGAAACCCAACCAUCAAUUUUUAUUUGCACCGUCAAUCUUCUUCUUCUUCCUACCCUAUAAACAAUUUUUAACUGAUCUCUUCAUUUCCUGCCAUGCAAUUUUCUUCUUCUUUUCGAUUCAACAUAGAUCCAGUGAUUUGAAAAAGUUUGAGAUUUAAUCACCAAGCCAACGUGCCAAGCAGCUUCCUUUCUCUUCCUCCAGCUCCGUGCUAAUCCGUAAGGAUUCGAUCAGUGCGAAGAAACAAAGCACUGGAUUUGGGAUCAGCAUGUGUGCAAGCUUCUAUGCGCAUCCCCUAAUCAUUCAGUGUCUAACAAAGAGAUCUCGAACUGGAUCCUGUGAGAUUAGUUGAAAUCAAUCAAGUAUUGGAAUCAAUCCAUCAAGCUUUUCACCACCAGGUUCCAUAUCUUUCUCAUUCACGAACUUCCUUUCAAUCUGAACCCAAUUUUUUUAAUCAUGCUUUCGUUGGAACUGGUUGGUACUAAACAUGUGAGCUGCAAAAACUGGAUAAAGAUUAUUCUGAGUCUCUCAGAUGCUUAGUACAGCUACGUAAUCUUCCCUUCCCCUUCUCCCUAUCUUAUUUUGUUAUAAUUGAUAAGGUCAAGUCAUGGUGGCGGUGGAUUCUGUGGUCCUCCAAUCGUCGGAGUAUACGUCUCCCCCCAUCUUCCCCACUCCGGUAUUUAUGGAAGACGGAUCUAAAGACAAAGGACUACAAUGUAAGUUCAGAUUUAUCCAUUGCAGUGAGCUAGAAGAAGCAGAGUUAUCUCUGUGUGAGACAAGUUCCUUGCACUACGAGGGAGAGCUCUUUUGGGAAGAAUUGAGACUGAAAGGAAAACAUAGUAUGAAGGCAGGAUUGCUCCUCCUUCGAUGUCUAUUAAUUUGCUGUGUUAUAUUGAUUGUCUAAUAUAUUGUUCUUAAAGUAAAAUCUCUCCAGGGUCUAGAAGGUUCCAAGAUAUCCAAAGGAACCAGCCAAAAUCAGGCUUGCGAAGCAGACAUGACUACCAAAAAAAGUUUGGCUAUGGACACCAAUGAUUGAAGCGAUGCAUAAAUGAUAGUCUGGUGAUGCAUUAGAGCUUAAACAAAUUUCAUGAUAUAUUCAACCGCUUUCUGGAACAAUAGACAGACUAGAUCGAUUCUGUCUUCAUGUCCAGACGAUCUCGCCCUCAGUUCAACCUAAUUCGGCGAAAGCAAUUGAGUUUUCCGGAGUUGGGCAGGAAAGUUUGCACAGAGAAGACUAACUAUGAAGGAAGAGAUCCAGAGAAGGACAAUACAGGCCGAGUGCUUGAUCUAACUAAAGGUAAGGAGAAAAAAAACUCAAAUGAACAUCAUCAUCACCGUCGCCAUCAUUCUGAUACUUCAUUUCAUAUCUCUGGAAUAUUUUUAAGUCGAACUAAUUGAUUCUACUACCAAAUCGCAACGCUGUGAAUGGCUUUAAGCUAUUUAAAAUCAUCUAUCACGGUCCCAUCAGCUGUUCUUCUUCUAGGAGGCUGCCUCUUCGCCUGUAAGUUAUUGAUCACAUGAUACACAA